rnacentral:rRNA from 1 species
GAUGAACGCUGGCGGCGUGCUUAACACAUGCAAGUCGAACGAUGAAGCCCAGCUUGCCGGGUGGAUUAGUGGCGAACGGGUGGGUAACACGUGAGUAACCUGCCCUUAACUCUGGGAUAAGCCUGGGAAACUGGGUCUAAUACCGGAUAGGAGCGUCCACCGCAUGGUGGGUGUUGGAAAGAUUUAUCGGUUUUGGAUGGACUCGCGGCCUAUCAGCUUGUUGGUGAGGUAAUGGCUCACCAAGGCGACGACGGGUAGCCGGCCUGAGAGGGUGACCGGCCACACUGGGACUGAGACACGGCCCAGACUCCUACGGGAGGCAGCAGUGGGGAAUAUUGCACAAUGGGCGCAAGCCUGAUGCAGCGACGCCGCGUGAGGGAUGACGGCCUUCGGGUUGUAAACCUCUUUCAGUAGGGAAGAAGCGAAAGUGACGGUACCUGCAGAAGAAGCACCGGCUAACUACGUG